AGAGUUUGAUCAUGGCUCAGGAUGAACGCUAGCUACAGGCUUAACACAUGCAAGUCGAGGGGCAGCAUGGGUCUUAGCUUGCUAAGGCCGAUGGCGACCGGCGCACGGGUGAGUAACACGUAUCCAACCUGCCGUCUACCUCUUGGACAGCCUUCUGAAAGGAAGAUUAAUACCAAGAUGGCAUCAUGAGUUCACAUGUUCACAUGAUUAAAGGUUUUCCGGUAGACGAUGGGGAUGCGUUCCAUUAGAUAGUAGGCGGGGUAACGGCCCACCUAGUCUUCGAUGGAUAGGGGUUCUGAGAGGAAGGUCCCCCACAUUGGAACUGAGACACGGUCCAAACUCCUACGGGAGGCAGCA
rnacentral:rRNA from 1 species